rnacentral:rRNA from 1 species
AUGUUCCAGGAGCUUGCACCACAUGACCCACAUGACAAGUGUGGUCACCACUACGCGAUCUGCCUUGACCUGAAGAACCAACAUUUUGAGGUGCUUGAUUCAAUGCGUUCGGCAGCUGAUGCAGUCCUUACUACGCAUGUUGAAUGCUUCAUCAACAACCUCAAAGAGACAUGGAACCGUCACUAUGAACACUCAAAGGUCCAGAUCAUACAUUUUCCAAUUGAGUACGUGGAGACUAUGAAGCAAGGGAACAAGACGGAUUGUGGCUUUCACAUGUUGGAAUACCUUGCAAAGUGGGAAGGUAGACUGGUUCAUGUUCUCACAACUGCAAUGGUCGUUGAGCUGCGGAAAAUUUACACAUGGAACUGA